rnacentral:rRNA from 1 species
UACGAAGGGGGCUAGCGUUGCUCGGAAUUACUGGGCGUAAAGCGCACGUAGGCGGAUCGUUAAGUCGGGGGUGAAAUCCUGGAGCUCAACUCCAGAACUGCCUUCGAUACUGGCGAUCUUGAGUCCGGAAGAGGUGAGUGGAGCUCCUAGUGUAGAGGUGGAAUUCGUAGAUAUUAGGAAGAACACCAGUGGCGAAGGCGGCUCACUGGUCCGGUACUGACGCUGAGGUGCGAAAGCGUGGGGAGCAAACAGG